CCUCUUAUUGCUGAUUUCUGUUCUCCAGUCCGAUAAGAAACCCAUAACCGAGUAUCUACUCUUUCUCUGCCACCACCAUGAAGAUCUGCGGUCUUCUCUUCUUCAUCUUCUUCUUUGUGAUCUUUCCUGAUCCAGGAAGUGCCAGGGGCAUCUUUACCAGACGUCAAUGUAUCCGUGCAAAUGGCCGCUGUGUUUUUAGCAGAAAUGGCUGUCCUUUUUCUCAAAGACAAAUUGGACGUUGCAGCCGUACUCAAAUUUGCUGUAAAGAACCAUUUGCUUAAAACAAUGAAAGAACUGAUUUCCAUGGAAGAAGGAGGAGGAGGAGGAGGAGGAGAAGACCCUAUGCUAGCAUCUGAUAGUCGCUUGAUUGUUUCCACAAUUCGAUGAAUCUUUUCAGCAAAAUGAAAGCCUGUUAAAGUAGUGUUGCUUCUUUGCCAUUUAAUAA